GGAUGGGAUCAUGAGUUCACAUGUCCGCAUGAUUAAAGGUAUUUUCCGGUAGACGAUGGGGAUGCGUUCCAUUAGAUAGUAGGCGGGGUAACGGCCCACCUAGUCAACGAUGGAUAGGGGUUCUGAGAGGAAGGUCCCCCACAUUGGAACUGAGACACGGUCCAAACUCUUACGGGAGGCAGCAGUGAGGAAUAUUGGUCAAUGGGCGAUGCCCUGAACCAGCCAAGUAGCGUGAAGGAUGACUGCCCUAUGGGUUGUAAACUUCUUUUAUAAAGGAAUAAAGUCGGGUAUGCAUACCCGUUUGCAUGUACUUUAUGAAUAAGGAUCGGCUAACUCCGUGCCAGCAGCCGCGGUAAUACGGAGGAUCCGAGCGUUAUCCGGAUUUAUUGGGUUUAAAGGGAGCGUAGAUGGAUGUUUAAGUCAGUUGUGAAAGUUUGCGGCUCAACCGUAAAAUUGCAGUUGAUACUGGAUGUCUUGAGUGCAGUUGAGGCAGGCGGAAUUCGUGGUGUAGCGGUGAAAUGCUUAGAUAUCACGAAGAACUCCGAUUGCGAAGGCAGCCUGCUAAGCUGCAACUGACAUUGAGGCUCGAAAGUGUGGGUAUCAAACAGGAUUAGAUACCCUGGUAGUCCACACGGUAAACGAUGAAUACUCGCUGUUUGCGAUAUACGGCAAGCGGCC
rnacentral:rRNA from 1 species